rnacentral:rRNA from 1 species
CACGUAGGGCGCAAGCGUUGUCCGGAAUUAUUGGGCGUAAAGAGCUCGUAGGCGGUCUGUCGCGUCGGCUGUGAAAACCUGGGGCUCAACUCCGGGCCUGCAGCCGAUACGGGCAGACUAGAAUUCGGUAGGGGAGACUGGAAUUCCUGGUGUAGCGGUGAAAUGCGCAGAUAUCAGGAGGAACACCGGUGGCGAAGGCGGGUCUCUGGGCCGAUAUUGACGCUGAGGAGCGAAAGCGUGGGGAGCGAACAGG